GGAUUGAAGGGAGAGGGGUCAGAUUUAGGUUUGUCAUUUUUGGCUUCAGGGCUCUGGGAGAAGAGGGAGAAGAGAAGUGAGAAGUGAGAAGUGAGAAGUGAGAAGUGAGAAGAAGGGGAGGAACGAAAGUGAGAAGGGGGAGGCGAAAAUGAGAAGAUGGAAAUGCUCGUCUCGGCGACACAACAUGGGGAUUCCUCUCUGAGAGAAAGACGACCUCGGUUCGAAAUUCCCCCGUUCCAAUGGUGGUCCAGAAGUUGAUGAUGGAUCAACUUCAUGCUUAGACUCCUUUUCUUUGCCAUGGAAUCCAUGUGGCCCGAAAGCUAGGCGACUCACAGUCUUGACACCCGAUACCAGCAAUAUCGUCAUGGAUUCGGUUUUCAUUUACACGUCCCAAGAAGAGCAUUAUCAACCAUAUUAUUUGUGGAAGUUCCCUGGUUGGGUCUGAGAUUAAAGGGUGGUGCAUUUGAAUGUUUCCUGCAAUACGUUCACCAUCCUCUCUUUACUAGCACGUUGAGUACACAAGAACUCAAAUUGAGAUCAUAAGAUGACAUC